AUAUAUAUUUAUUUAUUUAUUCUGGUCAAGAUUAUUUUCCCUAAUGGCUGAGAAAUUGAAACUCCUGUCUUUCCUGUGGCUAAUAAUAGCCUGUAUUGCAAACCAGACUGCAAACUCAACCACGACGAUGCCACCUUCUGUCAAC